rnacentral:rRNA from 1 species
ACGUAGGUGGCAAGCGUUGUUCGGAAUUAUUGGGCGUAAAGGGCGCGUAGGCGGUGCGAUGAGUCUGGUGUGAAAUCCCCGAGCUUAACUCGGGUCCCGCGCCAGAGACUGUCGUGCUGGAGUGUGGGAGAGGAGAGUGGAAUUCCCGGUGUAGCGGUGAAAUGCGCAGAUAUCAGGAGGAACACCAAUGGCGAAGGCAGCUCGCUGGGACGGUACUGACGCUGAGGCGCGAAAGCGUGGGGAGCAAACAGGU